rnacentral:rRNA from 1 species
UACGGAGGAUGCGAGCGUUAUCCGGAUUUAUUGGGUUUAAAGGGUGCGUAGGCGGACGCUUAAGUCAGCGGUAAAGUUGCGGGGCUCAACCUCGUCGAGCCGUUGAAACUGGGUGCCUUGAGUGGGCGAGAAGUACGCGGAAUGCGUGGUGUAGCGGUGAAAUGCAUAGAUAUCACGCAGAACUCCGAUUGCGAAGGCAGCGUACCGGCGCCCAACUGACGCUGAAGCACGAAGGCGUGGGUAUCGAACAGG